AUGGCCCAAAUGCUUCAGAAAUGUAUAACCUUGACCAAAGCUGCACUGAGAAGGUAUACCCUUCCACGUCAUCCCGGGACCAUCGACCGCAGUGCCCCCUUCCGUGACCCCAGUGUGGUGGCGGGAUGCUGGACAGCACUGGCUGGAAACCCAGUUCCGCCCUUAUUGGGUGGGAUCAACCACAGAGAUGACACAGGUUUGGCUCCAGGCAGUCUCUGGCACGGAAGAGCAGAUCCACUUCGAGACCCAGGAAGACGGAGGGAGAAGCCUGUCGGCCUGGGCUGCCACAGCCAAGUCCCACGGACACGAAGUUCUCACAGCCCUGGACGCUGAGGUCCACAUCAAGGUAUCAGCAGGGCUGGGCCUUGUCAAGACCUCUCUCCUUCGCUUGCAGGAGGCUGCCUUCUCACUGUGUCCUCACAUGGUCUUUCCUCUGUCAUUUGUAGGAGAGGGAGAGAGCGAGCGAGCAUGCUCCCUGGUGUCUCUUAUCUUAUAAGGACUCCAGCCCUAGUGGAUUAGGGCCCCACCCUUACAACCUCAUUUAACCUCCAUUAGAGACCCUUAGAGCCCCUGUCUCCAAAUCCAGUCCCAUUGAGAGUUAGGAACUCAACGUAUGAAUUUGGGAGGGGACGUAAUUCGGUCCAUAAAAGGGCCAAAAGACCCUCUAGUCCAGCCCCCUUUUUACUGCUGAGGAAACUGAGGCUCAGAGAGGUUGAGUGGUUUGCCAAAAGUCACACAGCUAGCUGGCGUCACAACCAGAACUGGAAGUCAGGCCUGACAUCUAGACGUGUGGAGGAAAGGGCAGCGUCUUCUAGCUGAUGUGGCUGUGAUGUGGCGAGGCCUGCCAUAGGCAUGCCCUUGACUGGAAGUUCUCUGUGUACGCGCGAGAGAAGAGCGGAGGGGAACAGGCCCACUGUGAAAGCUGAAGGGUUGAGUGUAGACCUCAGGAAGACUUCCUGUUUGAAAAAGAUCUGACUCACCGCCAAGUGUGUCCAAUGGCAAUUACGGGUUUUUUUGUUUGUGUUUCUUUUCUCAGAAAAUGGGAGAGAGUUUGGCAAAGGGCAGGAAGAUGGGCUUCAUAACUGUGAAGAUCCUGGUAGACUUGGGUUUCUAUGCUGAUUAGGAAACUAUUCCACCAAAACUUCCUGAAUCCAGAAGUCUUGCCAGGAGGAAACAGUCACCAAAAAAAAUCUCCCCAAACAUACCUUUGGCCCAGCAGCCCGACCCUGGGGGUGAGGGCAGGGACCAGGCCUGUGCGGGGCUGUUUACCCGGGUUAGGCAAUGCAGAUAAGUCGCCCCGUUGUGUUUGCAUGGGGGCUGAUGUUAGGGUGGA
rnacentral:lncRNA from 1 species